UGGAGGCUGAUUGCAGGGUUGGUUGAUUGGUGGAGGCUGAUUGUAGGGUUGGUUGAUUGGUGGAGGCUAAUUGCAGGGUUGGUUGAUUGGUGGAGGCUGAUUAGUGGAGGCUGAUUGCAGGGCUGGUUGAUUGGUGGAGGCUGAUUGUAGGGUUGGUUGAUUGGUGGAGGCUGAUUGUAGGGUUGGUUGAUUGGUGGAGGCUGAUUGCAGGGUUGGCUGAUUGGUGGAGGCUGAUUGGUGGAGGCUGAUUGCAGGGUUGGUUGAUUGGUGGAGGCUGAUUAGUGGAGGCUGAUUGCAGGGUUGGUUGAUUGGUGGAGGCUGAUUGUAGGGUUGGUUGAUUGGUGGAGGCUGAUUGCAGGGUUGGCUGAUUGGUGGAGGCUGAUUGGUGGAGGCUGAUUGCAGGGUUGGUUGAUUGGUGGAGGCUGAUUGCAGGGUUGGUUGAUUGGUGGAGGCUGAUUGCAGGGUUUGGUUGAUUGGUGGAGGCUGAUUGCAGCGUUGGUUUCGGGCUGGACAGGAAACAGGAAUUCGGGAACGCGCCUAGAUGGGAUGCGCAGUCCCGGCUGGUUUUCCCAGAAUGGAGCAGUGAGCCCGUUACGGCGGUGAAAACCGUUCACUUCUGAACACCACAAGAUUGCCUUGAUUUGCGACACAUUUAAACCUACCAGUUUUACGUUGGAUUCCCGACGAAAACAUUCUGGAUUUGUGACAGCCGACCAUGCACUAGGAGACCAGGCUACAGUGUUCAUGCAUUUCAACGAAGGCAGCAGAUUACAGUUGAAGGCUUCUGCAGCUGGAAAAGACGUUUUCAGGAUAAAUUGAAUAUGUAGUUUUAUGCCGCAGGAGGGACAAGCACAGAGAGAAAGCCUUGGAUGGUUCCUGGCCUGUGAACACUAUUACCGUAGAGAAUAAUGCCAAAUAAAGGUUUCCGUUUAGUAUCCUCGCCCUCAUUCGGGGACAUGUUCCUAGUUUUGAGUGUCAUUUCUAAACGAGGCAGAUGAUCAAGGCGUGGCGAGGCAUUGCUUUAGGCGUGUUGUCGGUCCACCGUUAAAUGUUGCUGGAUUUCACACCCUGUCAUUUCCACAUU
rnacentral:lncRNA from 1 species